UACGUAGGGUGCGAGCGUUAAUCGGAAUUACUGGGCGUAAAGCGUGCGCAGGCGGUCUGUUAAGACCGAUGUGAAAUCACCGGGCUUAACCUGGGAACUGCAUUGGUGACUGGCAGGCUUUGAGUGUGGCAGAGGGAGGUAGAAUUCCACGUGUAGCAGUGAAAUGCGUAGAGAUGUGGAGGAAUACCGAUGGCGAAGGCAGCCUCCUGGGCCAACACUGACGCUCAUGCACGAAAGCGUGUGGAGCAAACAGG
rnacentral:rRNA from 1 species